rnacentral:tRNA from 2 species
GCCCGGGUAGCUCAGUCGGUAGAGCAGCUCACUCGUAAUGAGCAGGUCGUCGGUUCGAGUCCGACCUCGGGCU